rnacentral:rRNA from 1 species
UACGUAGGGGGCUAGCGUUGUCCGGAAUCAUUGGGCGUAAAGAGCGUGUAGGCGGCCCGGUAAGUCCGCUGUGAAAGUCGGGGGCUCAACCCUCGGAUGCCGGUGGAUACUGUCGGGCUCGAGUACGGAAGAGGCGAGUGGAAUUCCUGGUGUAGCGGUGAAAUGCGCAGAUAUCAGGAGGAACACCGAUGGCGAAGGCAGGUCUCUGGGCCACUACUGACGCUGAGAAGCGAAAGCAUGGGGAGCGAACAGG